rnacentral:lncRNA from 10 species
AGACACCUAAAGGCCUCCGCUAUGUGGGCGGUGACCCGCCCGUGACGUAAGCUCCAGACGCCUGAGAAGUGGAAGGACCCGGCGUCCAGGACAGGAAAGUGCGUGAUUUACAGCUAGAGGGAUAGGCGCUGUCCCGGAGCCCGUCCUGGGCCAGGGAGCAGGAGAGGGAGGGACUACAGUUCCCGACGCGCUGCGGGGCGGGCGGAGAUCGUGCGCUUCGGCGCCAGUUGCACGGCCUUAGCAGCCAGUGGCGGCUCCCCUGCUCCUGUAACAGUCCCCUUGUCUUCUGACCUUUCGCUCCUCGGUCAUGUGUCCUCGCCGGUCGCCGCGGCAGCCAGUGAUGCCCGAGCGGCGGGUUCCCAGGCCCAGGUGUGGGCGCCACCGCCCACCAUGCGCCAAGCCCAGAGCCUGGUUGAAUCGUUCGCCACCUUGUCUACCCAUUUUGGCCAUUAUCCUGCCACCUCCAAAUCCUGUUUUUGACACUUCUCGGGAGAGAGAGAAAACGGAAAGAUAAAGGAAUAAACUCCUCGUGGUCGUAGUUAGUGGGUAAAUUCAGAUCUCGUUUGAACCGAGGUUUUUCUUAUCUCCAGCCACCGUAUCCACCACCACCAGAAUCGUCUUUUUAGUCAUCACAGCUGGUCGCCGUCAGUACCUUGUUCAGAAGCCUCUCGCAGCUUCCAUCGUGUGGUUAUACAAUCCAAAUUCCUUAUAAAGUCCAAAUUCAAGAGGAGGAAUGCACGUUUAGUUAAGUUAAUGUCUAGACCUUACCAGCCAAUUUCUAGCUCCUCAGUAUGGAAAUUGCAACUGAAAACACCCCUUCCAAAAAAAGCAGUCUGCAUUUUUCUCUGAGUUUUCUUCUCCAAAUUUCGCACCCCUGACCUUGCUUACACACUCUGGAUACCACCUGCUGUGGAGUGGCGGAAGCAGACAUCCAGCGAUAGCUAAGUUUCCUGUCGUUGACACCCAAGCAAGACAGGCGUGUACCUAACUGAGGACCUGCCGGUGAUAGAAGUCUCAGCUUUUCUCAGAGACAGAUGAGUCUUCCCUUUAAAUGCUGCAAAGUGCUGCAUAGUAGAUGUUAAAUGAAAGUCAGAAAGAAUCAAAUGUGCUGCAAAUAAUUGAAGGCAAAGUCCCAAACCAGAAUGCAGUCCCCUGGCCAGUGACCCUAGAGAUGACGCUGGCUCCGGCGGUGGCUCCAGGUUCCUGAGAACACGGUUGCUGAUGUUACCACCUGGGACCUGGCGCAAAGGAAAGGAACGCAAGCUCACUGCAAGCACACUGGAAAGGCAUGGACAAGGACGGAAACACAGUUGCUCCCGAUCUCAGGACAGAGAAGCCCCCUCUCAUAGCAUCCAAGCUCCAGGACAGACCUGCCCGCCUCAGCUCCUGAAACCCGGCCUGGGGUGCUCUCCAGCCAGCUCUUUUCUGACAGUGCUGAAAGGAGACAUCAUGAUGCAGGGAUGGCAAGAAUGAAAUCACAUCUUUUAAGGGAAUGAGAGAGACUGGUUUGCGGAUCAAGAGGAAACAGCAUGAAAGAGCUCUGAGGGCUUCAUCCUGGGUAGGAAGCCACUUUGCCCACUGAAUAUUUUCUUCUCACACAAAGGACUUGCAUGAGGGAACCGAGAAAGGAAACUGGGAACACACAGCCACAAGAGGCAGUGACUCCUAACUGUCCUCAGGUUCAAUGCCACACCCAUCGAACUAAGAAUGUGCCAGCGCCAUCAUCAGAAAAAUGUUAGGAAUUACAUCUCAUAAACUAAAAAAGAGCUAGAAAACCGUGACACCAUCAGAGCAUCUUCCUGACACCUGCACCCAGGCCAGGAAAUGGCCUGCCAAGGUGCCCUCCAUCUCUGUGUCCUCCACUGGGUCCCCUAGACUCACAGGGUCACUGUGGCUUCCAUUCCCAUGAGAUGCACUGCCUGUGCCUUGCCCUCCAUCCACAGCAUUCACUAUGUUGAAGGGAAUGAGGGAAUGCCUGUUAUCCCUGUCACAGACACCACGUGGGGCCCAUGGGCCAGGCACCACAAGCCUGUGCACCCUGCCAUACCCGAUCAAGGGCCUCCCUGGACAUUAACAAUGGCUAUGAAGAGGGAUGACAAACAAAUGUGUCCCAAGAAGGGGUGAACGUUAAGAUAGGCUGUGCAGGAAGUCAACAGUGAAAGGUUAUGGUGACAGCAGGGCAAGGAGGCCUUCAGUGUGGCAGGAAUGAGGGCUGUUAGGACAGGGCCCGUGAAGACACUGGAGGAGGCAGUGGCAGGUCCUGGAGGGUCACGGAGGCCACACGACGGCAUUUGGGCACCAAGCAAAUGACAAUGGAGAGCCAUGGAAGGCUGGACUUGGAGAAGUGUCUAUACUGGGAUCCUUCUCUAGAGAAAUGGAUGAACCUGGAGGAAAUAAUUUGGGAGGUGGCAAGGCAGAAAUAAAAGGCUUCCUGCCCAGCCAUUGAUGAAGGAGUCUCUCAACACUGAGAACAUCUAAGUAAAGUCUUGGUGACUCAGUCUUAACGUGCCUGGAUUCAGGAUUCAGGAUUCAGGAUUCAGUUCAGGAUUAUUAGAUAUUUAUGGAAGAUAUCAACACACACAAAAAAGGAGCAAAAUCUACCACUCAGACACUGGAAGGAUUGUGGAGGAAAAAUACUCUACAGAUAAAAAUACUUUACAGAAGACAAAGAGAAGAGUAGAGAAAGAAAAGAAAGAACAAAAUGAAAGAAAAAAAGAAAGAAGGAAAGAAGGAAGGAAGGAAAAAGAAAGAAAGAAAGAAAAAGAGAAAUAAAGAAAGAAAAGAAAAGAAAGAAGGAAGGAAGGAAGGGAGGGAGGGAAGGAAAAUAAACAACUCUAGUAUCUUUAUAGAGAAACAAGUAGAGCAGGAUGCCUUAAAAGAGAAGAAACAAAGACCAAAAAAUAAAAUGAGCAUUUGAAAAUAUGAAGGAGGGUAAUCAGGUAUAAAACAAGCAAACAAACAAAAGCAAAACAAAAAGCAGAAAACCUGGAAGAUAAAAUUCAAAAAAACUUCCAAGAUAAAAAGACAAAGAGAUGGACAUCUGAAAAGAAAACACAAGAACAUCAUAACAUUUGUCUACUGUGUUAGAGUUCAGAAGGCAAGAGCAUAAACAAAUGAAGGAGAGUAUUAAUAAAAUCUUUUUUCCCCAAAUUGAAAAGAACCACUGUGGACUCAGCAAAUGAGUGAAAAUACCAAGCCAUUAAAGCACGUAAGAGACCAGGAAUAAGUAAAAGUCCCUAAAGCUUCCAGAAAGGGGAGAGGAAAAUGAAAAAAAGACAGUUUCCAAAUGAAGGACUGGGGAUUAGAGGAACAAUGGACUUCUCAGUAGCCACAGUGGAUGGGAGUCAAGGACAUUACGCUAAAACUCCUGGGGAAAGUGACUUCCACCCCAGAAUCCUGUUCUCUAACUCUUUGUUAGCUGAGAAGCCUUGGAGGCAGUCAGAAGAUUGCUUCUGUGUUUCCCACAGACAGACAAUGCCUGGCAUCCACAAACAGGGUGUUCAGCAUGGCAGAGACACACAGGAAGCUCCAGCAGGGUGACAGGCCUGGGCUGGAACAAGGAGGGCAGCACUGGGAAUGAGGAGUGCAGGGAAAAAGGGAUGGAGAGAUUGGCCUGUGUGGGGGAAAUAGAGCGUGGACAUUUCACAUGCUCACCUCCUCCUAACCUUUGUUCAAAUGGCACUUUCUAUUCAGUCUACCUACAACCUGCACCCCCUUCUUUUGGAAUUCUAAUCUCCCUUUCUCCCUUCGUUUUGUUUUUUUUGUUUGUUUGGUUGGUUUUUUAUUGGUUUUUUCCCCCUUUUUUUCAUUUUUAUCCAUGACACUUAUCACUUUCUAAAAUGUGCUAUCAUUUAAAAUACAUUAUGUUUAUAAACAUCUAUAAAUAAACAAAAAGAGAAAUAAACAUAAAGUCUAAGCAUAUGGUCUAAAUAAACACUGUAUCUAUUGUUGACUCUGUCACCCCCA